GUUGCCUUUGGUAGGUUGUAAAACAGAUUUCCAGUCUUUGGUGGACUGUGGUAUUUAUUUAACGUAGAUGUCAUUUUUGCAGACUAAAUUGGUUUAAAAAAAAAAAAAGGGGGGGGGUUAAAAGGUAUGAUGGAUGUUUGGCAUUACUCCGGCUUGCAAAUUUAUGUGCUAUUUUAUGAUGUGCAACGCUGAUUUUAAGCAUAAAGUCUUAAUUGAGGGAAUGUCAAAAGUACAUGUAAAGGUGAUGAUGAAUAAAAAAUAAAUAAAAAAAAUUAGAGGUUAUUUAAGGGGGGCUACAAAUUCUAGAACUAACAUGAUUUCUCUGAAUGUAUGUUUGUUUGCAUAAUGAGCCCCUUAUUUUUAUACUUGGACAAAAGUACUAUAAGC